GUAAUCAGGUUUAUGUUCCCUAUGUUAUUUUUUUGCCCUGAUUUUAAUCAGAGUUUUUAAUCUUCUUUUUCAGGAAACCAAUCAGUGCUGUUCACUGUUUCUUUGCUUGUCUUCCUGGUUCCACCUGUUCACACCAUGCUGCAACCUACCUCAAACUUGUCUGCCUGUCCAUCAUCCAGUCCCCUGCAUGCUCAUUUCCUGACAGAAGUAAGAGACAGUACCAUCAAACCAAAGUUCUCCACCAGCUGCCAAACAGUCUCUGUGGUUCAGCUUACAUCCCUCUGGAUCUCUUCUACCAUAUCAGUCCCCGCAGCGGCAGGGCACCACCGUUUUUACAAUCGAUGACCAGAAGUACACACCAGGAAGUCUAGUGAAAUUGCCGCAAGUCGCCCCGAAAUGUUUAGUUUUUACAUGCGUGAUCGCCUGACUGUAAUUCAUGCUGUUCAUGACUUGAAUUAAAACAAAGUUUUAAAAAAUAAAGUGGUUCCUGAACUCAGCAAAAGUCAGUGCAACCUGAAGUCGAUGCCAACAGGAAGUUAUUGAAGUCGUAUUAAAUCCACUGACCUAGGUUUAGCUUUUUCCUCCCUCUGUUAGGGUUAGCUCUCUAUGGAGGAGAUAAACCCCAGGGGUAACAUUCAGACAGUGAACCUGAUAUUCAGCCAGACAUUGUGCUGUCGUCCCACACUCACUCAUGCAGACGCAGAAAGGCUUGUCCACGCUUUUGUCUCCUCCAGGCUGGACAACUGCAAUGCGCUCCUCAUCGGGAUCCCUGGGAAAAGCCUUCAGAAGCUGCAGUCCAUACA